GCAAGUCGAACGGCAGCACGAGAAAGCUUGCUUUCUUGGUGGCGAGUGGCGGACGGGUGAGUAACGCGUAGGAAUCUACCCUAGAGCGGGGGAUAACCCGGGGAAACCCGGGCUAAUACCGCAUAAUACUUAAGAGUCAAAGUGUGCCUCUGUUUCAUGCAUACACUCUGGGAUGAGCCUGCGUCCGAUUAGCUAGUUGGUGGGGUAAAGGCCUACCAAGGCGACGAUCGGUAGCUGGUCUGAGAGGACGAUC
rnacentral:rRNA from 1 species